rnacentral:rRNA from 1 species
AUUGAACGCUGGCGGCAGGCUUAACACAUGCAAGUCGAGCGGAGAUGAGGUGCUUGCACCUUAUCUUAGCGGCGGACGGGUGAGUAAUGCUUAGGAAUCUGCCAUUUAGUGGGGGACAACAUUCCGAAAGGAAUGCUAAUACCGCUUACGUCCUACGGGAGAAAGCAGGGGAUCUUCGGACCUUGCGCUAAAUGAUGAGCCUAAGUCGGAUUAGCUAGUUGGUGGGGUAAAGGCCUACCAAGGCGACGAUCUGUAGCGGGUCUGAGAGGAUGAUCCGCCACACUGGGACUGAGACACGGCCCAGACUCCUACGGGAGGCAGCAGUGGGGAAUAUUGGACAAUGGGGGGAACCCUGAUCCAGCCAUGCCGCGUGUGUGAAGAAGGCCUUAUGGUUGUAAAGCACUUUAAGCGAGGAGGAGGCUACUGAGACUAAUACUCUUGGAUAGUGGACGUUACUCGCAGAAUAAGCACCGGCUAACUCUGUG